GACGAACGCUGGCGGCGUGCUUAACACAUGCAAGUCGAACGGAAAGGCCCUGCUUUUGUGGGGUGCUCGAGUGGCGAACGGGUGAGUAACACGUGAGUAACCUGCCCUUGACUUUGGGAUAACUUCAGGAAACUGGGGCUAAUACCGGAUAGGAGCUCCUUCUGCAUGGUGGGGGUUGGAAAGUUUCGGCGGUUGGGGAUGGACUCGGGGCUUAUCAGCUUGUUGGUGGGGUAUUGGCUUACCAAGGGUUUGACGGGUAGCCGGCCUGCGUGGGUGACCGGCCAAAUUGGGACUGAGAUACGGCCCAGACUCCAACGGGAGGCAGAAGUGGGGAAUAUUGCACAAUGGGAGGAAGCCUGAUGCAGCAACGCCGCGUGCGGGAUGACGGCCUACGGGUUGUAAACCGCUUUAGCGUGUGACGAAGCGUGAGUGACGGUAAUGGGUAAAGAAGCACCGGCUAACUACGUG
rnacentral:rRNA from 1 species